CCAGAGGGUCGGAUGACCGCGUGGGUCGCAAGACCCCCGAGGAAAGUCCGGGCUCCAUGAAAAUCCGGUGCCGGAUAACGUCCGGCGAGGGCGACUUUAGGGAAAGUGCCACAGAGAACAUACCGCCUAACGCUGCUUCGGCAGGGUGGCAAGGGUGAAAAGGUGCGGUAAGAGCGCACCGCGGCGCUGGUAACAGGGCUGGCAGGGAAAACCCCACCGGGAGCAAGACCAAAUAGGGGAAGCACGCACCAUGCUUCGGCAUGACGCAGGGCCCGUUUUUCAGCCCCGCUUUCCGGGUUGGCCGCUUGAGGUUGCAGGCAACUGCAAUCCUAGAUGAAUGGUCAUCCGCGGUGCCGCAAGGCACUGUGACAAAACCCGGCUUACAGACCCUCUGGUUAU
rnacentral:RNase_P_RNA from 1 species